ACAAGCGUGGAGUAUGUGGUUUAAUUCGAUGCAACGCGAAGAACCUUACCUGGUCUUGACAUCCCGGAGACCCUUAGGAAACGUAGGGGUGCUUCCAUCUGGAAGAAUCUGGAGACAGGUGCUGCAUGGCUGUCGUCAGCUCGUGUCGUGAGAUGUUGGGUUAAGUCCCGCAACGAGCGCAACCCUUGCCUUUAGUUGCCAGCAGUUCGGCUGGGCACUCUAAAGGGACUGCCGGUGUUAAACCGGAGGAAGGUGGGGAUGACGUCAAGUCCUCAUGGCCUUUAUGACCAGGGCUACACACGUACUACAAUGGCCGAUACAAAGGGCAGCGACACUGCGAGGUGAAGCCAAUCCCGUAAAAUCGGUCUCAGUCCGGAUUGGAGUCUGCAACUCGACUCCAUGAAGUUGGAAUCGCUAGUAAUCGUGGAUCAGCAUGCCACGGUGAAUACGUUCCCGGGCCUU
rnacentral:rRNA from 1 species